ensembl:lncRNA
AGGGUGGAGAUAAAGGUGCAUGGGUUAAAGGGUAAGUCGUGAGUCGGCUGUCAACGGUCAGGUAAACUUGAAUGGGGACUGGUAUAUAAGUCCGAGAUGGGAGUAAAAGUUGGAUGGGGACAGGAUAUAGGUCUGAGAUAAAGGUGAAGUUGUAUGUUUUACAAGUCUGAGAGAAGUCAUUUUGAAGAGAUAGAGGUACAGUCAAAUAGAGACACAUAUAUAAGUCUGAGGUAGAGAUGCGGUCAGAUAGAGACGGGUAUAUAAGUCUGAGACAGAGGUACAGACAGAUAAAGACACGUAUAUAAGUCUAAGGUGGAGUUACAGUCAGAUGGAGACGGGUAUAUAAGGCUCAGGUAGAGGUAAAGUCAGAUGGAGACGGGUAUAUAAGUCUGAGACAGGUAAGUUGGAUGGGGACAGGUGAAUAAGUCUGAGACAGCAGUAUAGUCAGAUGGAGACAGGUAUACAAAUCUGAGACAAGUAAAGUUGUAUAGGGACAGGUGUAUAAGUCUGAUCUAGAAGUAAAUUCAAAUAUGUAUCUAAGGCUGGGAAAUAGUUGAAGUUGGAUGGAGGCAAGUAAAUAAAACUGGUUUAGAAACAAAGUUGAACAUGGCAGGAGUAUGGGUAGAGGUAAAAUUGGAUGGGGUUAGGUAAUGGAUUGGGGUAAUGUUGGAUUAGACAGGUAUAUAAGGGUGAGAAAUAGUUCAGCCUGGAUGACAGCAGAUUGAUAAGGCUGUAAAGAUUGGGGUAGAGAUAAAGCUGCAUGAAGAAACGAUCUGAAAAAUAGGAGUAUGCAUGACAUUGGAGUAAUAGGAAAGUUUGAUGGGGCAAGAGAUAAAGAAGGGUAGAGAUAAAAUUUCAUGGGCAGGGGUACGAGUACAGGUUAGAGAGGAGCAGGUGGAGAAGAACGAGGCAUAGAAAUAAGUAGGUAUGCAGUAGGGAGCAGGUUGGUGUGGAUAGUUUAGGGGGGUUGGGGUAGGAGUUGCAGAUGGGCCUGGGUCUUUUCAUUCUCCUCGAGGUUUCUCUCCAAUUUGUUUUAGAUUUAUUUUCCCACCAGUUUUCUCUACAUGGUCAUGGUCAGCCUUUGUUGUUACAAGUCUCCCUCCAAUGUCACUUUAUUUAUUUUGGAACUCUUAUGGAUGAAUACCAUUUAAAUGAACAGAACAUAGCACUACUGCAGAAACAUUCCUUUGUGACCAGACCCUCAGCCAUAUAAACUAAAGAAUUUGUGAAAGCUCUUAGCCCCCCAAGUGUGUGUGUGUGUGUGUGUGUGUGUGUG